CAGCCGCCGCGGUAAUACCAGCCCCGCGAGUGGUCGGGACGAUUAUUGGGCUUAAAGCGUCCGUAGCCGGGUUGGGAAGUCCUCCGGGAAAUCUGGCCGCUUAACGGUCAGAAUGCCGGAGGAUACUCCCAGCCUAGGGAGCGGGAGAGGCCGAGGGUAUUCCCGGAGUAGGGGUGAAAUCCUAUAAUCCCGGGAGGACCACCUGUGGCGAAGGCGCUCGGCUGGAACGCGUCCGACGGUGAGGGACGAAGGCCAGGGGAGCAAACCGGAUUAGAUACCCGGGUAGUCCUGGCUGUAAACGAUGCGGACUUUGUGUCGGACAAGCUAUGAGCUUGUCCGGUGCCGGAGGGAAACCGUUAAGUCCGCCGCCUGGGGAGUACGGCCGCAAGGCUGAAACUUAAAGGAAUUGGCGGG
rnacentral:rRNA from 1 species